ACGCUGGCGGCGCGUCUUAAGCAUGCAAGUCGAGCGGGAUUACCUAGCUUGCUAGGUAUGAGAGCGGCGGACUGGUGAGUAACGCGUGGGUGACGUACCCCUCCGACCGGAAUAGCCGGUAGAAAUACCGGAUAAUGCCGGAUGAGGUCCGAGGCGUUGGAGGCCUUGGAGGAAAGGAGCUAUUGUUCCGCAGGGGGAGCGGCCCGCGUCCCAUCAGCUAGUUGGCGGGGAAAAGGCCCACCAAGGCAAUGACGGGUACCCGGCCUCAGAGGGCGACCGGGCACAUUGGGACUGAGAUACGGCCCAGACUCCUACGGGAGGCAGCAGCUAAGAAUAUUCCGCAAGUGGGGAAACCCUGACGGAGCGACGCCGCGUGGACGAAUGAAGGCCGGAAGGUUGUAAAGUCCUUUUAUGGCGGAGGAAGAAGCGGGCGUUGGAAGCGCGCGCGGUGACUGUAUGCCAUGAAUAAGCACCGGCUAAUUACGUGCCAGCCGCCGC
rnacentral:rRNA from 1 species